AAUUAGAACUCUUUAGAAAUUAUUUUUAGAUAAUGUACGUUUAAAAAAACAAUGAUUUUCCUGCAGGUGCUGUUGUAUUGUUUGGAUUUCAGUUCUGUGUUUGCAGAAAAAAUGGCGACUUUUGAGAAGUUUGUUGAUGAACCAACAAAAAACAAAAACACAUUUUAUUUAACACCGAAAGAACCCUUACUCCCGAGUGACACAAAUAUAUCAGCUGUUGGCCUUUGUUUCCGGUUUUAUUAUUCAAGUUUUCUCGGAACAUCAAACUUUAACUGGUUCUCUGCUCAACACACAUCCACAGACGGACAAUAUGCUCUAUCUUGGGAAGUACUGGAUUUGGGUCCGUAUAUCGGCAAGUUUUUGAUUGAUCAGAAACCGUUUAUGAUUUCCAAGACCCAAAGAAUUGAAAUCUUUAAUGAAGGAAGCCGACCUCUCCGCUGGUUUUCUCGAGAUACUAAUCCUGUAGAUUCAGGAACUUGGCACCAUUUCUGCUCAACAUAUGAUCAUAAUUCUAUUCAUCUACUGACUGUACUAAACAAGAAUAUGAUUGACAACUAUACAUUUACGCCACUUGUUUCUAAACUCAAGGGUCCCACACCGCUAAUGUUUAAUCAUUACAAACCAGAAAGUUCUGAAGGAUUUCGGAUGGCACUGGAUAAUAAUGUGAAGGUGACAGAUGUUCAAGUCUGGAAUAGGUUUCUUACAGUUGAGGAAAUGAUCGCCUAUACAUCAUGUGAAUUUUCUAUUAAAGGUUCAGUUUAUCAAUGGAACAGCAGUGAUUGGACCUUUGCUGGAACCAACGUGACUUUGCUGAAAUCUCAAGAAUCAACUGUUGAAACAACGCAUCUUUGCUCCAAGGAAAAACUUUUCUUGGUCCCUGAUAUGCUUAAGCAUCAAGAAGCUUUAGAUCAAUGCAAACUUUUUGGAGGCGAAAUGGCAUUCAUGGAAACAGCUCAGGAAAUUUCAGAAAUAUCCAUUUUUACAUCUAUAAAUAUAAAAAGGAUGGCAUUGUCUUUUUCAAGAAUUUGGAUGAGAUUUACUGAUGUUGAAGAAAAUGAUAACUUUAUUGAUGUGAUAACAAAACAACCAUCGAAAGAACCAAUACCGUGGAAGGUUGAGGAACCGAAUGGAAACUAUUUUGAAAGCUGUACAAUACUGGAUACUUCAAUAGGAAAAGUAUCAGACUUUGGCUGCACCUCUCAACUAGCCUUUGUGUGUCAACACGUCACAUACAACUACAAACUAAAAGGACUUUGUGUUGAAUCUGCCAUUGAUAGAAAAUUUCGGAUUGCUGAAACACUGAUGAACGAUAAAAGAUUUUUUAUCAGUAAUUACGGCUGGAUUAUAUAUUGGAAUGGAAAAAACUGGUGCAUUAAAAACAUAGCUAAAUCCUCUAAUUCUACUGGUAUAUUAAUAUCCUCUUCAGUCACCUAUCCAGUUGGAAGAUUUACCUGGAAUAUUGAAAAUGAUGCCUGCACAAUAAACAAGGAUGCUGCCCUCACCCUAACCCUCACAAACUGCGCUGAGGAUGAGUUUACUUGUGACAAUGGGAACUGUGUGUCUAUGGAGAAAAGAUGCGAUCUAGUCUCAGACUGUUUGGAUAUCAGUGAUGAAAAGAAUUGUAAGAUUGUUGUAAUGGAUGCCACAAAGUAUCUACAAGAUAAACCUCCAGAAGCUGCCCCUGGGGAAAAAACUGUAACUGUUUCAGUAUCUGUAAACGUAUUUGAGAUACUGAAAGUAGAUGAGGUUGGAGGAAUAUUUGAGACACAGCAUGAAAUUCAGCUGAGUUGGAGAGAUUCAAGAUUAAGUUUUUAUAAUUUAAAACAAGAAUCAUUCAUGAAUAAACUUGUUAGUCAGGAGAAGAAUUCCAUAUGGGUUCCAUCAGUGACAUUCUUGAACACUGCAUCCCAAGACUUCACACUAAAUGAUAUCUCCUCGUAUGUCAAAGUGCUGCGUAAGAGUAACCUAACCCAAGUAUCUGAUAUAUCGCAUGAAAACGCGUAUAUCUACGAUGGAGAUUCCAACCCCUUGGUUUUGGGUCGAGUAUAUAAAACAUCAUGGAUUUGUCAGUACGAUACUCUCUGGUACCCCUUUGAUACACAGACGUGUAAACUUCAGUUUGUGAUUGAUUCUGAUGCUUUAUUUUUCAUGAAUCUAAGAAAUGCUACGUAUAACUACACUGGACCCAUGGAGCUCACCCAAUACUUUAUCAGAUCCUAUGCUUUCAAAAAAGAAAGUGAACAGAUAUCUAUUUAUGAGUUUGUUCUGGGAAGGAGACUGUUGGUUCACUUCCUAACAAUCUACCUACCCACCUUGCUCCUAAACCUAAUCGGUCACGCUACGAACUAUUAUGUAACUAUUUUAGUUUGUUCUGGGAAGGAGACUGUUGGUUCACUUCCUAACAAUCUACCUACCCACCUUGCUCCUAAACCUAAUCGGUCACGCUACGAACUAUUUUGAUCAUGAACAUUUUGAUGCCAUUGUCACUGUCAAUCUAACUGUGAUGCUUGUGUUGGUAACCAUGUUUGUAAAUAUAAACAGUAAUCUACCGAAGACAAGUUAUAUGAAGAUGGUUGAAUUAUGGUUAAUUGUUACACUCAUUAUUCCUUACGUGGAGGUUCUUAUAUUCACAUACAAGGAAAUUUUAAGAAUGAGAGAGGAUGAGGAAAAGAAAAAGAAGAAACAGAAAGAAAUUCAAGAAUUGAAUGUAACAAAUCAACCUGCCUUUUACAGGAGACCAAGUAUUGGAACUGGUUAUAAAAAUGCGAAAAAUAUAAGCUUUGUUGGUCUGCAAAUGAGAAAAGAACUUUUUCCAGUUGCUCACUUAGAUGUUGAAGAA